rnacentral:rRNA from 1 species
AACGAACGCUGGCGGCAUGCCUAACACAUGCAAGCCGAACGAGAUCUUCGGGUCUAGUGGCGCACGGGUGCGUAACGCGUGGGAAUCUGCCCUUUGGUUCGGAAUAACAGUUGGAAACGACUGCUAAUACCGGAUGAUGACGAAAGUUCAAAGAUUUAUCGCCAGAGGAUGAGCCCGCGUAGGAUUAGCUAGUUGGUGUGGUAAAGGCGCACCAAGGCGACGAUCCUUAGCUGGUCUGAGAGGAUGAUCAGCCACACUGGGACUGAGACACGGCCCAGACUCCUACGGGAGGCAGCAGUGGGGAAUAUUGGACAAUGGGCGAAAGCCUGAUCCAGCAAUGCCGCGUGAGUGAUGAAGGCCUUAGGGUUGUAAAGCUCUUUUACCCGGGAUGAUAAUGACAGUACCGGGAGAAUAAGCUCCGGCUAACUCCGUGCCAGCAGCCGCCGUAA